UACGAAGGGGGCUAGCGUUGCUCGGAAUCACUGGGCGUAAAGCGCACGUAGGCGGCUUGUUAAGUCAGGGGUGAAAUCCUGGAGCUCAACUCCAGAACUGCCUUUGAUACUGGUGAGCUUGAGUUCGGGAGAGGUGAGUGGAACUGCGAGUGUAGAGGUGAAAUUCGUAGAUAUUCGCAAGAACACCAGUGGCGAAGGCGGCUCACUGGCCCGAUACUGACGCUGAGGUGCGAAAGCGUGGGGAGCAAACAGG
rnacentral:rRNA from 1 species